rnacentral:miRNA from 2 species
GGCUCGUCCCUACCCUUGCAGU